GCUGUUUCUCCCAUCUGUAUCCAUUUCAGUAGGUUAAACUCACUGCAUGAAGAUCAUGGGACCUUUCCAUUUUCAGAAGCCAAUGGAAAUUGUCAUUUGACUGAAACUUUGACAAAGGAACUGAAGUUUCUGACCUCGUGGCUCUGAUUGGAUCCUGGAGGCUCAAGUCUAGUUUGGCUGUUAAUCUAGGACCCAUUAGAUGCAGAACAAGGAUCUGGUGUGGCAAGAAAGAUGACUUAAG